GACGAACGCUGGCGGCGUGCUUAACACAUGCAAGUCGAACGGGAUUUAGUAGACAGAAGCCUCGGCUAAAGAUUACUAAUGAGAGUGGCGAACGGGUGAGUAACGCGUGAGCAACCUGCCUAUGACAGUGGGAUAGCCUCGGGAAACCGGGAUUAAUACCGCAUAAAAUCGUAGAAACACAUGUUUUAACGGUCAAAGAUUUAUCGGUCAUAGAUGGGCUCGCGUCUGAUUAGCUAGUUGGUGAGAUAACAGCCCACCAAGGCGACGAUCAGUAGCCGGUCUGAGAGGAUGAACGGCCACAUUGGAACUGAGACACGGUCCAAACUCCUACGGGAGGCAGCAGUGGGGAAUAUUGCACAAUGGGGGAAACCCUGAUGCAGCGAAGCCGCGUGAACGAAGAAGGUAUUCGUAUCGUAAAGUUCUGUCCUAUGGGAAGAUAAUGACAGUACCAUAGAAGAAAGCUCCGGCUAAAUACGUG
rnacentral:rRNA from 1 species